UAAAUAUUACUUCUAACGAAUUAUCUCCUCAAAUAUUGCUUUUCACAAACCCUAAUAUCUACAACCUCCGCCGGAAGAAGUCUACUCAUCUCCACAAGAUCUUAUCCAGAUUUCUUCUAUUUUGCUGGCCAUUUGGUUUCCAGUCGUUCAAAUCUAAGAUGGAGGUUUGGACGUUUGAAGAAAUACAUAAUGCCUUAAAUUAUGCUUCUCAAAACCAUGGAAAGCACAACUAGCUAGGGAAAGCAAAGGUAAUUGCAUUAUGGAGUUAUAAUUUGCUACUACUUUUAGGUCUUGAAUGAGUAGCAUAGCAAUGUGUACUAUUUACCCCAUGUCUACUCAAGUGAUGGCUACACUGCUCAAGAGCAUAUCAUUGAAGGGAUAGGGUUAAUGACAAAUAUGAAGAGGGUCGUGACAUAAGUCAUCUUUUUGAAUUCAUGUUUGGGAAUAUUGAUGGUUUUGGUGAUCUUGAUAUUGAUAACCUUGAUGAGGUAUCUAUCUUUCUUAAUAUUGCACAAACACAUAUUGUAUGUGUGUAUAUAUAUUCUAAAAAUAAACAUCCAUUGGUUAAUUAUUGCAAAACCAUGGUUUUAUUUCUCAGAAGAGGAGCGUCUUGCUACCCUAGCUUAUAUACUUGGAUCAUAUUUUAACAUAUAUGAUGUACACAACUACCAUCUCCUUGAUAUAUUUUUAUACUAUAUAUAGUUUUCUUAGACAAUUAUGAUAAUAAUAUAUUGAAUUCAUGACUUUGAACUUGUAAGACAAUGAUUUGGUUAUGUAGAUUAUAAGUGGAUACUGAUUGAACAAUACGAGGAAUGAGAAAUCCAAGCGUUGACCGAGGAAGACUAUCUCAUACCAAAAUCCGAUUAUGUUUCUACAACAGUAACUUCAUCGUUAGUUACAUCAUCUACAUUGUUUUGAUGAUGAAAAUUAUGAUGAAGAAGAAUUACUGAACAAAUUACGUGUGAUGUGAUAUGUGAUGUGAUAUGUAAUGUCAUUUAUAUUUCGAUUAUUUAUAAUGUUAUAACAUAUCUAAUUUAAAUUUUUAAACCGUGUAAUAGACGGGUACCUAAUGAAUUGUUGUUGUAACUUUUAUUUA